CCCCAGACUCCUACGGGAGGCAGCAGUGGGGAAUAUUGCACAAUGGGGGAAACCCUGAUGCAGCGACGCCGCGUGAGUGAAGAAGUAUUUCGGUAUGUAAAGCUCUAUCAGCAGGGAAGAAGUUGACGGUACCUGAGUAAGAAGCCCCGGCUAACUACGUGCCAGCAGCCGCGGUAAUACGUAGGGGGCAAGCGUUAUCCGGAUUUACUGGGUGUAAAGGGAGCGUAGACGGCAGUGCAAGUCUGAAGUGAAAGCCCCGGGCUUAACCCGGGAACUGCUUUGGAAACUGUACGGCUGGAGUGCUGGAGAGGUAAGCGGAAUUCCUAGUGUAGCGGUGAAAUGCGUAGAUAUUAGGAGGAACACCAGUGGCGAAGGCGGCUUACUGGACAGUAACUGACGUUGAGGCUCGAAAGCGUGGGGAGCAAACAGGAUUAGAUACCCCGGUACUG
rnacentral:rRNA from 1 species